rnacentral:rRNA from 1 species
UACGAAGGGGCUAGCGUUGCUCGGAAUUACUGGGCGUAAAGCGCACGUAGGCGGCUUUCUAAGUCGGGGGUGAAAUCCUGGAGCUCAACUCCAGAACUGCCUUCGAUACUGGAGAGCUCGAGUCCGGGAGAGGUGAGUGGAACUGCGAGUGUAGAGGUGAAAUUCGUAGAUAUUCGCAAGAACACCAGUGGCGAAGGCGGCCCUCUGGACCAGUACGUGACGCUGAGGCACGAAAGCGUGGGGAGCAA